rfam:Gossypium hirsutum cultivar TM-1 chromosome 12, whole genome shotgun sequence
AGUCCAUGAUGAGGACACCUUCUCAGAAAAUCUUUCAAUCUCUCAUGUAUCGUAAAGUGUCUCAACAUCAAAUUGAACAAAAGAAGAUAUAUCAUUCCUCAACUU